rnacentral:rRNA from 1 species
CAGUAGCCGCGGGAAUACGAAGGGGGCUAGCGUUGCUCGGAAUUACUGGGCGUAAAGGGAGCGUAGGCGGAUCGUUAAGUUGGGGGUGAAAGCCCGGGGCUCAACCUCGGAAUUGCCUUCAAUACUGGCGAUCUUGAGUAUGGAAGAGGUAUGUGGAACUCCGAGUGUAGAGGUGAAAUUCGUAGAUAUUCGGAAGAACACCAGUGGCGAAGGCGACAUACUGGUCCAUUACUGACGCUGAGGCUCGAAGGCGUGGGUAGCAAACAGGAUUAGAUACCCCAGUAGUCCCUGUCUCUUAUAC